GCAGUUGUCGCCGAGUGGUUAAGGCGUUAGACUUGAAAUCUAAUGGGGUCUCCCCGCGCAGGUUCGAACCCUGCCGACUGCG
rnacentral:tRNA from 1 species